UUACAAGUCAACAAAUUAGACCAACCCAAUUAUCCCAGUGUCUGGCUGGUGUGUAAUGGCUACAGACAGCAUUUCCCUGGCUGUAUGUGUACCAUGUACAUCAUAUAGGGUAUUCUAAAGGAUGUCAAAGACAUGU